AGAGUUUGAUCCUGGCUCAGAACGAACGUUGGCGGCGUGGAUUAGGCAUGCAAGUCGAACGAAUCCCAGGGGGCAACCCUUGGGGGAAGUGGCGAAAGGGGCAGUAAGGCGUGGGUAACCUACCCCGGGGACUGGGAUAGCCUUCCUAACGGAUGGGUAAUACCAGGCGAUUUGACGAGGGGGCAUCUCCUUGUCAGGAAAUGAAUUUCGCCUCGGGAGGGGCUCACGUGAUAUUAGCUAGUUGGCGGGGUAACGGCCCACCAAGGCGAAGAUGUCUAGCGGGUGUGAGAGCACGACCCGCGCCACUGGCACUGAGACACUGGCCAGACACCUACGGGUGGCUGCAGUCGAGGAUCUUCGGCAAUGGGCGCAAGCCUGACCGAGCGACGCCGCGUGUGCGAUGAAGGCCUUCGGGUUGUAAAGCACUGUCGAGGGGGAGGAAGGCGAAAGCUUGACCUAUCCCUGGAGGAAGCACGGGCUAAGUUCGUGCCAGCAGCCGCGGUAAGACGAACCGUGCGAACGUUGUUCGGAAUCACUGGGCUUAAAGGGCGCGUAGGCGGGCAAGCAAGUCCGGGGUGAAAGCCCCCAGCUCAACUGGGGAAGUGCCUUGGAAACUGCUUGUCUCGAGGGAGGUAGGGGCCUGUGGAACUUCGGGUGGAGCGGUGAAAUGCGUUGAUAUCCGAAGGAACGCCGGUGGCGAAAGCGACGGGCUGGACCUCUUCUGACGCUGAGGCGCGAAAGCCAGGGGAGCAAACGGGAUUAGAUACCCUAGUAGUCC
rnacentral:rRNA from 1 species